rnacentral:rRNA from 1 species
CCUACGGGUGGCAGCAGUGAGGAAUAUUGGUCAAUGGACGAGAGUCUGAACCAGCCAAGUAGCGUGAAGGAUGACUGCCCUAUGGGUUGUAAACUUCUUUUAUAUGGGAAUAAAACGUUCCACGUGUGGGAUUUUGUAUGUACCAUAUGAAUAAGGAUCGGCUAACUCCGUGCCAGCAGCCGCGGUAAUACGGAGGAUCCGAGCGUUAUCCGGAUUUAUUGGGUUUAAAGGGAGCGUAGGUGGAUUGUUAAGUCAGUUGUGAAAGUUUGCGGCUCAACCGUAAAAUUGCAGUUGAAACUGGCAGUCUUGAGUACAGUAGAGGUGGGCGGAAUUCGUGGUGUAGCGGUGAAAUGCUUAGAUAUCACGAAGAACUCCGAUUGCGAAGGCAGUUCACUGGACUGCAACUGACACUGAGGCUCGGAAGUGUGGGUAUCAAACAGGAUUAGAUACCCUAGUAGUC